rnacentral:lncRNA from 1 species
AUGUCCAUGCACAGGGCCUUCCUGUCUGCACCACCGGGCCUUCCUGUCUACACCACAGUGCUUCCUGUCUACACCACAGGGCCUUCCUGUCUCCAUGCACAGGGCCUUCCUGUCUACACCACAGGGCCUUCCUGUCUGCACCACAGGGCAUUCCUGUCUCCAUGCAUAGGGCCUUCCUGUCUCCACCACAGGGCCUUCCUGUCUCCACCACAGGGCCUUCCUGUCUACACCGCAAGGCAUUCCUGUCUCCACCACAGGGCCUUCCUGUCUCCACCACAGGGCCUUCCUGUCUAUACCACUGGGCCUUCCUGUCUACACCACAGGGCCUUCCUGUCUACACUGCAAGGCAUUCCUGUUUACACCACAGGGCCUUCCUGUCUACACCGCAGGGCCUUCCUGUCUACACUGCAAGGCAUUCCUGUCUACACCACAGGGCCUUCCUGUCUCCACCACAGAGCCUUCCUGUCUACACCACAGGGCCUUCCUGUCUGCACCACCGAGCCUUCCUGUCUAUACCACAGUGCUUCCUGUCUACACCGCAAGGCAUUCCUGUCUACACCACAGGGCAUUCUUGUCUACACCACAGGGCAUUCCUGUCUACACCGCAAGGCAUUCCUGUCUACACCACAGGGCAUUCUUGUCUACACCACAGGGCAUUCCUGUCUACACCGCAAGGCAUUCCUGUUUACACCACAGGGCCUUCCUGUCUACACCACAGUGCCUUCCUGUCUCCACCACAGGGCAUUCCUGUCUACACUGCAAGGCAUUCCUGUCUACACCACAGGGCCUUCCUGUCUACACCACAGGGCCUUCCUGUCUACACCACAGGGCCUUCCUGUCUAUACCGCAAGGCAUUCCUGUCUACACCACAGGGCCUUCCUGUCUACACCACAGUGCCUUCCUGUCUCCACCACAGGGCCUUCCUGUCUACACCACAGGGCAGCUGUUGUUACGUGCACUCCAGCUGCCCCAGGCUUGGAGACCACAUCCUCCACGACGCAUCUACUCUCUAUUAGGGGCUUCUCCAAGUGUGUGUCCAGUGAGUGCUGUCUACACAUGGGCAGCUAUGCGUCCAGUGACAGCUGUCACACCAUGGGAACUACGUGUCCAGUGAGUGCUGUCCACACCAUGGGCGGCUAUGAGUCCAGUGACAGCUGUCCACACCAUGGGAGCUACGUGUCCAGUGACAGCUGUCCACACCAUGGGAGCUAUGCGUCCAGUGACAGCUGUCCACACAUGGCAGCUAUGCGUCCAGUGAGCGCUGUCCACACCAUGGGAGCUACACGUCCAGUGACAGCUGCCACACCAUGGGCAGCUACGCGUCCAGUGAGUGCUGUCCACACCAUGGGGAGCUAUGUGUCCAGCGUGAGCUCUCUACAAGAUGACCACUCUCUACGAGAUGGGAGCUGUGUCCAGUGUGAGCUCUACGAGAUGGACAGCCACAUGUCCAGUGACAGCUUUCCCCGCGCCAUGGGAGCUCUCCUUACAAGACGUGACACUGCCUAUUUCCACUGA